rnacentral:lncRNA from 1 species
GUCUUGACUCUUUGUGUGUGAUUGUUUUUCAUGUUUGAAUGUGUAACUAGGAGAUGGAUUUUAACUUUCCAUUUCACUGGCUAAAUGUUUAUACUAAUUGUAUGUCCUCUUGAAAUUUGCAGAGUCUAAAACACUACUACCUCUAAGGGGAGGAAUUCCCCAUCUUAUGAAUGGAAAUGGUUGUGGGCAAAAGUGUAGCUGAUUUAGUUUAUAGCUUAGAAUGUUUUUAUUUCCCAACUGUUUUUGUAAAGUACCAUUUGACUUACCACAUUUACAAUGAAGGAAAAUGGCACUUGUUUGGUUUUCAAAUUUUCAGUAUACUGGUUUUCAAAAUCAGUAUAUUGAUACUAAAUGGGAUACUUGAAUCAAAGCAAAUAUAACGUUAAAAUAAUAGAUGGAGAUUUUGGAAUCUGAAGCUUGCUUGAAGUUAUUGUAGCAUAUGUGUUUUUUACUUUAAAAUUCAAACUUCUACUCAAUAGUGUAUAAGGUCUAUUCCAAUAAGAAAUUCUAGAACAUGAUUUUCCCUUUUCAUUAUACAAAGCCAAGGUUAUCUCAUACAGUACAAAAGAAAAAGUGGUAAUGAGUAACUGGUCAGUAUUUAGACGUGUGAAAAUGUAAAGUUGUUAAAAGGUUAUAUAUGAUUUUAUAAAACAGUAUAGAUGAGAAAGGUGCUACCAUCCUAAGGGGAGAAAAUGAGGCAUGUUCUCAAUUUCUUGGAUCCUUUGGUUCACACAAGGGAGGACCUAACUUUAGAAUCCUAUUGACUCAAUAAGCAGUGGCAUGAUGACUUCUUACUGCCACCACAAAAUCUCUUAAGAAUGUACAACUUGUAAACCCGUCCAGCCAUUUUUCUUUGGCACUGAUGCCUUGUUCUUAUGAAUUUAGAGAAAGUUACACUUAAUUUACAUACAGGUAUAUAUAGCUAGAUUUUUAAAAAGCAUUUAGAGAAACUAAGAUACAGGUGCACUUUCAACUUGUGAAGACUUUUUCUUUUAGCCAAGAGGAGUGUUAAUACACUGGUAAAGAAGAUGGCUAAAUUUUUUAAGGGGUGAUAUAAGG